rnacentral:tRNA from 1 species
ACGCGGUUAGCUCAGUGGUAGAGCAUCACCUUGACACGGUGGAGGUCACUGGUUCAAAUCCAGUACCGCGUACCA